rnacentral:rRNA from 1 species
AAGGACGGUACCCCUGGAACAAGUGUCGGCUAACUACGUGCCAGCAGCCGCGGUAAGACGUAGGACACAAGCGUUAUCCGGAUUUACUGGGCGUAAAGCGUCUGCAGGCGGACAGGUAAGUUGGGCGUGAAAGCUCCGGGCCCAACCCGGAGAGGUCGUUCAAUACUGCGUGUCUAGAGGGUGUCAGAGGGGAGUGGAAUUUCCGGAGUAGCGGUAAAAUGCGCAGAGAUCGGAAAGAACACCAAUGGCGAAGGCAGCUCCCUGGGGCACACCUGACGCUGAGAGACGAAAGCUAGGGGAGCGAACAGGAUUAGAGACCCUGGUAGUCCUAGCCCUAAACGAUGAAUGCUAGGUGUGGGAUCGAAUGGUUCCGUGCCGGAGCGAACGCGAUAAGCAUUCCGCCUGGGGAGUACGGCCGCAAGGUUAAAACUCAAACGAAUUGACGGGGCCCCGCACAAGCAGCGGAGCGUGUGGUUUAAUUCGAUGCUACACGAAGAACCUUACCUGGGUUUGACAUGUAGGUGGUAGUGAAUCGAAAGGUGAACGACCCUUCGGGGAGCCUACACAGGUGCUGCAUGGCUGUCGUCAGCUCGUGCCGUGAGGUGUCGGGUUAAGUCCCGUAACGAGCGCAACCCUUGCUCCUAGUUACAAGUGUCUAGGGGGACUGCCGGCGGAAAGCCGGAGGAAGGUGGGGAUGACGUCAAGUCAGCAUGGCCCUUAUAUCCAGGGCUACACACACGCUACAAUGGUCGGUACAAAGGGCAGCGAAACCGCGAGGCGGAGCGAAUCCGAGAAAAGCCGAUCGUAGUUCGGAUAGCAGGCUGCAACCCGCCUGCUUGAAGCUGGAGUUGCUAGUAACCGCGCGUCAGCCAUAGCGCGGUGAUACGUUCCCGGGGCUUGUACACACCGCCCGUCACGUCAUGGGAGUCGGUAACGCCUGAAGCCGGUAGUCUAACUGGAAAUCAGGAGACGCUGUCGAGGGCGGGACUGG